rnacentral:lncRNA from 1 species
ACAGAGCAUGUAUGGCAAAGUAAUUUAAUAUCUGCCACUACAACAGAAUUAGGUUAUAGGGACACAUGUUUGGGAUACUUUUGAGUAAGUGUCCCAUUUAUACUAAAACUUAAAAACACAUCUACUAAUGCCUAAAUAUAAAGCCCAAUCCAACCAAAAAUAAAAGAUUACUCUACUCAACCCACCACACCCAGUCCAUUUGGUCCGAUUACAAACAGAAAAGAAAAAAAAAGAAAAAUCAAUUACCAUCUUUUCUUCUCUCUUCACUCAAUCCACUGAAAUUCUAGACGAAGAGCCUUUACUGUCGUCCUCCUCCGCCACCGCAGCCAACGAGAUAGAGUUUCGACAGUUGCUAAAUGAUUAAAUAAGUAUUGGUAAAUUAGCAGCACUCUUUUAGGUUAUAGCGACACUCUUUAACUGUCACUAUAUACCUAGCGACCCCACAUAUAGCAACACUUUUUAAAAGUGUCGGUAAUUUUAGUUAGCAGCACUUUUUUGACAUGUACCUACAUUUAAAAGUGUCGCUAUAGACCGUUUUUGUUGUAGUAAAACUGCUUGUUACUUGAU